AACGAACGCUGGCGGCAUGCCUAACACAUGCAAGUCGAACGAGACCUUCGGGCCUAGUGGCGCACGGGUGCGUAACGCGUGGGAACCUGCCCUUAGGUUCGGAAUACCUCCCCGAAAGGGGUGCUCAUGCCGGAUAAUGUCUUCGGACCAAAGAUCUAUCGCCUUUGGAUGGGCCCGCGUUGGAUUAGCUAGUUGGUAGGGUAAAAGCCUACCAAGGCGUCGAUGCAUAGCUGGUCGGAGAGGAGGAUCCACCACACUGGGGCUGAGACACGGCCCACACUGCUACGGAGGGGAGGAGUGGGGAAUAUUGGGGGAGGGGGCAAAACCUGAUCCCGCCACGCCGGGGAUGAGGUGAAGGGCGUAGUGUUGUAAAGCUCUUUGUGACGAGAUGAUAAUGACAGUACCGGGAGAAGAAGCACCGGCUAACUCCGUG
rnacentral:rRNA from 1 species